UGGGGAAUUUUGGACAAUGGGCGCAAGCCUGAUCCAGCCAUGCCGCGUGAGUGAAGAAGGCCUUCGGGUUGUAAAGCUCUUUCGGCCGGGAAGAAAUCGCAUUCUCUAACAUAGGAUGUGGAUGACGGUACCGGACUAAGAAGCACCGGCUAACUACGUGCCAGCAGCCGCGGUAAUACGUAGGGUGCGAGCGUUAAUCGGAAUUACUGGGCGUAAAGCGUGCGCAGGCGGUUUUGUAAGACCGAUGUGAAAUCCCCGGGCUUAACCUGGGAACUGCGUUUGUGACUGCAAGGCUAGAGUACGGCAGAGGGGGGUGGAAUUCCUGGUGUAGCAGUGAAAUGCGUAGAUAUCAGGAGGAACACCGAUGGCGAAGGCAGCCCCCUGGGCCUGUACUGACGCUCAUGCACGAAAGCGUGGGGAGCAAACA
rnacentral:rRNA from 1 species